AGCUUCUCUUGAGUAUCAAUGCUGUUUUUGAAUAGCUGGAGGGUUGGUGUCGUACCUUACUAUGUGACUGCUCACUCUCCAGUUAUUCAAAAACAGCAUUGACACUCAAGGGAAGAUCAGAUUGAACCUCCACUCUUUGAGUGUGAGUUUCAAGCUCUAGAUUACCAAAAUAAAGGUUUGAUAAGUGUUCCAACUAUGUUUCAACUUAAAUAGAAUACAUGAUUGUGUUGGGAAAGCAUUAGUUAAGAACAGCUAACCAAGACCGCGUGACUGUCAACUCUCUUGCACUUUCAUUCUCGUUCCAUUCAGUCUUAAGCAGAGUUCGGUUGCUUCUCUGCUGUACUUCGAGAGUCUCCCGUUCGUGUUUUGUAUUCUCGUGUUUCUUUGGAAAUAUUUCCUUUGUUUCCUUGUCCCCCUCCCCAAAGGUUAUCUGUUUCCUUGUUCCCUAAUCCCUGUGAUUUUUUGGCUUUGUUCUGUGUUUUCAUUGCAAAAUUUCCGUCUUCCCUUGUUGCCUAGAUACCCCUGAGAGCCUCUCAAUUCUCCCGAAUCCCACGGUUUUUCACCCUCAAUAUCAUAUUCAUGAUAACACAUUAAAAAACUCAUUAAUAAUUCAGGAGCAAAACACAAAGAAAAAUCAUAAGCGUGUCGUGGUUUUAUAUGUGAUAUAAAAUCAUGUUAAUUUACAUAAACUUUAG
rnacentral:lncRNA from 1 species